rnacentral:rRNA from 1 species
AAAGGAAUUGACGGGGGCCCGCACAAGCGGUGGAGCAUGUGGUUUAAUUCGAUGAUACGCGAGGAACCUUACCUGGGCUUGAAAGAGGGACGAUCUUCCGUGAAAGCGGAAUUUCCUUCGGGACGUCCUUCUAGGUGCUGCAUGGUUGUCGUCAGCUCGUGCCGUGAGGUGUCGGGUUAAGUCCCAUAACGAGCGCAACCCCUAUUCUUAGUUGCCAGCAUGUAAUGAUGGGGACUCUAAGGAAACUGCCUACGCAAGUAGUGAGGAAGGUGGGGAUGACGUCAAAUCAGCACGGCCCUUAUGUCCAGGGCUACACACGUGCUACAAUGGUCGGUACAAUGGGCAGCUACCUGGUGACAGGAUGCUAAUCUCAAAAGCCGAUCUCAGUUCGGAUUGGAGUCUGCAACUCGACUCCAUGAAGCUGGAAUCGCUAGUAAUCGCGCAUCAGCCAUGGCGCGGUGAAUACGUUCCCGGGCCUUGUACACACCGCCCGU